rnacentral:rRNA from 1 species
GACGUAGGGGGCCAGCGUUGUUCGGAUUUACUGGGCGUAAAGGGUUCGUAGGUGGCCAACUAAGUCAUACGUGAAAUCCCUCAGCUUAACUGGGGAACUGCGUCUGAUACUGGUUGGCUUGAGUGCAGGAGAGGAACGCGGAAUUCCAGGUGUAGCGGUGAAAUGCGUAGAUAUCUGGAGGAACACCGGUGGCGAAGGCGGCAUCCUGGACCGGUAUUGACGCUGAGGCGCGAAAGCUAGGGGAGCAAACGGG